GGUCCUCCCCCAGGGCCUGUCCUCCUCCCUCAGGUGAAUACAGUCGGUCAGAAAGCAAACACAGCAACAUGACUCUGAAACAUACCAGACGGGUGGAGUAAGGAUGGUAAGCUUGUAUUUUAUUACAAAACAGAGCAGGUGAAUACAGUCGGUCAGUAAACAAACACAGCAACAUGACUCUGAAACAUACCAGACGGGUGGAGUAAGGAUGGUCAGCUUGUAUUUUAUUACAAAACAGAGCAGGUGAAUACAGUCGGUCAGUAAACAAACACAGCAACAUGACUCUGAAACAUACCAGACGGGUGGAGUAAGGAUGGUCAGCUUGUAUUUUAUUACAAAACAGAGCAGUUAUUUGGGAGAGUAAGGAGAGCGUGUAAACAUACAUUAUUCAUACAAAGACAAAGAAUAGCAAGAGAUAAUAUACAGCUUCAACACAAAUAUAGGAAACGUGGGUAAUUGAUAUAUAGGAAUAUACGUAGGAAAUAGCAACAGAAUCCUCCAUGUUGCUUUCAUUGCAGCCUCAUGGUUUUAAAUGUGGGUAAUUGAUAUAUAGGAAUAUACGUAGGAAAUAACAGAAUCCUCCAUGUUGCUUUCAUUGCAGCCUCAUGGUUUUAAACGUGGGUAAUUGUGAAUACUUGACUGUUAGUGCUAAAGGAGAGAGAACUGUGAAUAUAGUCUCGUCAACCAGGCUACUAUGACUAUACUGUAACAAAUAAAUUCUGUUAGCAUUUUCUUUUCUAGGAGAUAAAAUGUUGAAACAAUUACACUAUUUAUGGCUCGACUGAAAUCAGAGAGAGAGCCUUUAAUAACAGAUAGAAAAAGUACAAUGAUUCAAAUCAACAAAGAAGCAGAGCCAGAAUAUUUGACCUUUACCUGGAUAUCUACAUUGAUUAACCAAUCAAGGAGGAAGGACCAGAAGUCUGGCAGGCUCUCAUAACUCUGAGCUCCAUAACCAAAGUUAUUUGUGAUUACAUUACUUGAUGCUCAUUGGUCAGUCUUAGGAUUCAUCCAAAAUGGCACCCUAUUCCCUUUACAGUACUUCUGGUCCCUAGUGCACUAUAUAGGGAAUAGGGUGCCAUUUGGGAUGAAUGGACCCGGGUUAUUCCCUAUGGAUUAUGGUAAAAAGUAGGUCACUAUAUAGGGAAUAGGGUGCCAUUUGGGAUGAAUGGACCCGGGUUAUUCCCUAUGGAUUAUGGUAAAAAAGUAGGUCACUGUAUAGGAAAUAUGUUGCGAUUUGGGACGUAGACUGAGUUAUGACUGAGAAUUAAUAUAGGCGUCACUAUUAAGAUACCUGGAAUAAGGUCUGUUCACUGGCAUAUUCACUCACUGUUGCCCACACUAGAAAAAUGACCAAUCUCACACAGGGUAAAAAAGGAACAGUCAGCCACCUUAAUGCAUCCCUGUACAGAUAAGAUACCUGUGAAGAAGUCGUCUUCUUCAAUAAUGCUUUUCUUUCUGAAGCCAAACACACAUAUUUAUACACAGGGGCGAAUCUUUGGUUUUAGAAGUUGGGGAGGAAAUAUCAAAAACAAAAUGUAUCCAGUCAGAUAAACACUCCAAACAGCCUACCCAACCUCAGAGGCAUCCGCAUGGUCCUAAAGCACACCGUUGCCUCGUUUAGUAUCACGUUCCAAUGAUAAAACUGGGGGGCGGACGACAAAAAUACAAUUUCCGAAUGUGGGGGGGGGACAUGUCCCCCCUGUUCCCAGUGAAAGUUGCAAUCCCGUUUAUACACAUCUUUCAUUAACACUUUGUGUAUUUAAAUAGUCAUUUUAACAGAUAUUCUCUGUCUGUAUGUCCAGACACAAAGCAUCAUCAACAUGUUACAGACCACAACACAGUUAGCGUCUGGUUUAACACAGCAGAACUGAUGCGUCGGUGUGGUUCAACAACAACAAAUUAAAAUGGAGAGAUUCUACCUGAACGUCUCCAAUAACAACACAAAGGUUAAUUUUCUAUUGCAAAACAUUUUGCUACGGUGUGCCCUAAUGAACACUAAAACGGUCCAGUUCAAUAGUGAGACAGCUGGACUGUCCUAGUGAGGGCCCUAGAGGUGAGUGAGAACCGCAUCCCAAAUGGCACCCUAUCUUGGACCCGGGCCUACAGGGCCCAAUGUAGGGAACAGGGUGCCAUUUGGAAUGCAACGGACAUGUUGAUGCAGUCAGGCCAGGUGCACUCGACUACUGGUGCACUCGACUACUGGUGCACUCGACUACUGGUGCACUCGACUACUGGUGCACUCGACUACUGCAGCUAUGAACAGUUUCUACCUCUCUUUUUAAGUGGGGAAGGAAGGAAGUGGUUAGCUGUUAUUAUCAGACACUCUGUAGCCUGUUAGCUCUGACAUGAUUGCAGUACCUGACUGACACACACUUGCAGAAGGAUUUUCAUUGCAGAGAAAUAUGGACAAAUCAUAGGCAAAUAGAAGCAGAGAAUUUGCAUCCGAAUUUCACAAAACUGAUCUAACCUGAUCUGCAGGUGGAGAAAGAGGAACACACACACACACCUCUCCAGUUUGGUGUACACACACACACACACACACACACACACACACACACACACACACACACACACCUCUCCAGUUUGGUGUACACACACUUCUCUCUGCUCUAAACGUCCUGCUGUAACCAGUGUUUGAUAACCGCCACACGGUCCUAUGCUUCCAUCUGUCUGCUUUACGACCCUCCUAACGCUAGUUAACCAACAGCAUCAGGCUGGGAGAGUUAAGGCUAAACUCUCAACGCUAGUUAACCAACAGCAUCGGGCUGGGAGAGUUAAGGCUAAACUCUCAACGCUAGGGAAACAGAGGAAAAUCUCCUCCCGCCCACAGUCCACUUUAUUACAGGAAAUGACAAGGGGUUGAGGCAACACCAACAGACAAAUAGGUUACUUUGUCACAGUAAUGAACGUGUGUACCAUGUCACAGUAAUGAAUGUGUGUACCAAGACACUGAUAAUGUGAGGAAAAUGUCAGUUAGAAUGUGAAACAGAACUGGUGUUGAUGUAACAAUGAACUAACUAGAUGAUUUAUCAUUCUGACAGGUAGCAGGCUCUAGUCAAGAUGCUAUAGCUAGCAGGCUCUAGUCAAGAUGCUAUAGCUAGCAGGCUCUAGUCAAGAUGCUAUAGCUAGCAGGCUCUAGUCAAGAUGCUAUAGCUAGCAGGCUCUAGUCAAGAUGCUAUAGCUAGCAGGCUCUAGUCAAGAUGCUAUAGCUAGCAGGCUCUAGUCAAGAUGCUAUAGCUAGCAGGCUCUAGUCAAGAUGCUAUAGCUAGCAGGCUCUAGUCAAGAUGCUAUAGCUAGCAGGCUCUAGUCAAGAUGCUAUUGCUAGCAGGCUCUAGUCAAGAUGCUAUUGCUAGCAGGCUCAAGUCAAGAUGCUAUAGCUAGCAGGCUCUAGUCACAAUGUUGUUAUAGGUAGCAGGCUCUAGUCACGAUGCUAUAGCUAGCAGGCUCUAGUCACGAUGCUACAGGCAGCAGGCUCCAGUCACGAUGUUAUAGGGAGCAGGCUCUAGUCAAGAUGCUAUACACUACUGUUCAAAAGUUUAAUGGAAUAUCUACAUAGGCGUACAGAGCCCCAUUAUCAGCAACUAUCAUGCCUGUGUUCCAAUGGCACGUUUUGUUAACUAAUUCAGGUUUAAAAUUUUAAAAAGUCUAAUUGAUCAUUAGCCUUUUGCAAUUAUGUUAGCACAGCUGAAAACUGUUGUCCUGAUUAAAGAAGCAUCUGCACUUGUGGGUUCGAUUACAGGCUCAAAAUGGCCAGAAACAAAGGACUUUCUUCUGAAACUCGUCAGUCUAUUCUUGUUCUGAGAAAUGAAGCAAUGGCUCUUCAUGAAGGCCAUGCGAGAAAUUGCCAAGAAACUGAAGCUCUCGUACAACGCUGUUUACUACUCCCUUCACAGAACAGUGCAAACUGGCGCUUACCAGAAUAGGAGUGGGAGGCCCCGGUGCACAAGUGAGCAAGGGGACAAGUACAUUAGAGUGUCUAGUUUGAGAAACAGAUGCCGCACACGUCCUCAACUGGCAGCUUCAUUAAAUAGUACCCUCAAAACACCAGUCUCAACAUCAACAGUGAAGAGGCGACUCCAGGAUGCUGGCCUUCUAGGCAGAGUUACAAAGAAAAAGCCAUCUCUCAAACUGGCCAAUAAAAAGAAAAGAUUAAGAUUGGGAAAAUAACAGACACUGGACAGAGGAAGAUUUGAAAAAAGUGUUAUGGACAGACUAAUCUAAGUUUGAGGUGUUCGGAUCACAAAGAACAUUCAUGAAACGCAGAAAAAAUGAAAAGACGCUGGAGGAGUGAUGACGCCAUCUGUCAAGCAUGGUGGAGGCAAUGUGAUGUUCGGUGGUGUUUUGGUGGUGGUAAAGUGGGAGAUUUGUACAGGGUAAAAGGGAUCUUGAAGAAGGAAGGCUAUCAUUCCAUUUUGCAUUUUGUAUGUCAUACCCCGUGGACAGCACUUAAUUGGAGCCAAUUUCCUCCUACAACAGGACAAUGACCCAAAGCACAGCUCCAAACUAUGCAAGAACUAUUUAGGGAAGAAGCAGACAGCUGGUAUUCUUUCUAUAAUGGUAUGGCCAGCACAGUCACCAGAUCUCAACCCUAUUGAGCUGUUGUGGGAGCAGCUUGACCGUAUGGUACGUAAGAAGUGCCCAUCAAGCCAAUCCAAUUUGUGGGAGGUGCUUCAGGAAGCAUGGGGUGAAAUCUCUUCAGAUUACCUCAACAAAUUGAUAACUACAUUGACAAAGGUCUGCAAGGCUGUAAUUGCUGCAAAUGGAGGAUUCUUUGACAAAAGCAAAAGGACACUAUUUUUUCAAUUAAAAUAAUUAUUAAUUUGGCAACUAAUUUCAGUUAAGUUUUCAUGGAAAACAAGGCCAUUUCUAAGUGACCACAAACUUUUGAACAGUAGUGUAGCUAGCAGGCUCUAGUCACAAUGUUGUAGCUAGCAGGCUCUAGUCACAAUGUUGUAGCUAGCAGGCUCUAGUCACUAUAUUGUAGCUAGCACAAUGUUGCUAGGCUCAAUGUUGUAGCUACCAGGCUCUAGUCUCAAUAUUGUAGCUAGCAGGCUCUAGUCACAAUAUUGUAGCUACCAGGCUCUAGUCUCAAUAUUGUAGCUAGCCGGCUCUAGUCACAAUAUUGUAGCUAGCAGGCUCUAGUUACAAUAUUGUAGCUAGCAGGCUCUAGUCACAAUAUUGUAGCUAGCACAAUGUUGCUAGGCACAAUGUUGUAGCUACCAGGCUCUAGUCUCAAUAUUGUAGCUAGCAGGCUCUAGUUUCAAUAUAGUAGCUAGCAGGCUCUAGUCACAAUGUUGUAGCUAGCAGGCUCUAGUCACAAUAUUGUAGCUAGCAGGCUCUAGUCACAAUGCUAUAGCUAGCAGGCUCUAGGCACAAUUUUAUAGGUAGCAGGCUCUAGUAAAGAUUCUCUACCAGGCUCUAGCAUGGAACAAGCCUCAUCUCAGCUGGUGGAGUGAUACACACAACACAAGCCUUUUAUUGUGACAGACAGGCAGCCAGGUCCCCAGCACCGCGGUAACAGUAGAUCUCUGUUCCGGCCAGACUACUUGAUUACACCAACACAGUUCCACUUAACAGGCAGAGAGGAGCACAGAACAAGAGAGGAGCUACAUCAUAUGAAAUGGCACAGAUUAUCAAGGAAGAAAAGCCCUUAUUAUUAUUAUGAUGACACAAGUAAAGGGAAUGAAUAGCACUGGACAGAGGCUUAAUAAAGUCAUGUUUAUCAACAUGUUGAUAAGUGUCUCUCCUAAAUUCACUUGUUCACACACUUGGACUGCUCUUCCAUGCGGGUUCUCUCAGUGUACAGACAGACAGUAGCUGUAAUGUGGUGUGUGUGUGUGUGAGGGAGAAGUUAGCAAGCUGUUCUGUAUGUAACAGAUGGAGUUUCUAUUCAUCCAGAAGGAGCCAGUGUCCUACAGACCGUCUUCCCCUUUCUCCCUGAAGCAGGAUCCCAGUCCACAGAUCCCAGUUCACAGAUCCCAGUCUACAGAUCCCAGUCCACAGAUCCCAGUCCACAGAUCCCAGUUCACAGAUCCCAGAUCCCAGUCUACAGAUCACAGAUCCCAGUCUACAGAUCCCAGUAGACAGA
ensembl:lncRNA